GACAGAGGGGGCAAGCGUUGCUCGGAAUUACUGGGCGUAAAGGGCGCGUAGGCGGGAUGGCAAGUCGGUCGUGAAAGCCUUCGGCUCAACCGAAGAACGUCGGCCGAUACUGCCGUUCUUGAGGGAUGCAGAGGAGACUGGAAUUCUCGGUGUAGCGGUGAAAUGCGUAGAUAUCGAGAGGAACACCUGCGGCGAAGGCGGGUUGCUGGGCUGACACUGACGGCUGAGGCGACGGAAGGCCAGGGGAGCAAACGGG
rnacentral:rRNA from 1 species